AUUCGUCACGAACGAGGAGCGAAGGGUGUACGAAAGAUAAGAUCGGGUCUGCCAAGCCGCAUCGCCAAUUAUCGUUGUGUAGGUGUGUCGGGAUAACGAAGCACGAGAGAUGACGGUCAUGAGAUAAGGAGUAAUUGUGAUCAGUAGCGAUCGAACAUUAAUACGGUAGAGUUAUGCAAGCUUUCGGUACUUAAAAAAAUUGGUAAAAGUUAUUGAUUUCGUGCCAAAAAGUGAUCCUCGAGGAUUUUGUUCGAUAUAAAAAACAUUUAAUAUAUAAAUUUGUGUGAUAAUUAUAAGUUAAACAGUAAAAAUCUUUGUUUAAAUAGCACGUAUUGAAAUUGUCGCAAGCGUCGGCUUGGGCGUAGGAAGUAUUGCGGUAGUGUGUGUAGCAUCGGGAUGAAAUCUUUUGACAUUUCAUAUUGCGUGAUCAAUACAGAUUCGGAACUAACGGUAUCUUGCUCAUCAUGGCUAAGAGAUAAGAAGAUUUGUUCCAUCGUGUACUUAAGCCGGAAGGUAAAUGUGUGCGUGUAAUGAAAUUUAACAUCAGUGCGUGUACUAUGCAUGUGCUAAGCUUGCAAAUUAUUUGCAUUUGUGUUGUGAGGCUUGUCAUAAAACCAUGUCAUAAGCGUGUGGCUAGUGUAUCCGUGAUUCGAUAGGUUUAAAAAAAAUUGAAAUUAAUAAAAAAUACAAUCUUUCACGUUGUGGAAAGUGCACAAGAAAAAAAGCAAGUGUUGGUUGUUUUUUAGUGAAAAAAGUGUCUAUUGUGAAGAUGUCUAUUUUGUCAUUAGCUAAUUAAUUGCUUAUUGAGUGAAAUCAUGUUUUGAAAAAUGUCGCCAUUUUAAGCGAAUAUUGUGUUUCAAAAGUGCCAAAUUGUAUUAAAGUGUGUAUGUGCCUUUGUGCACAGAAAAAAAGGAAGAGUUGGUUGUUUUUUUUAGUGAAAAAUAAGUUAUAUCUAUUUCUCAAUAAGUUUAUAGCUUUUUGGGAUGAAAUCGUUUAUUUAAAAGUGUCGCCAUUUUAGGCGAGAGUUGUGUUUUAAAUGUGCAAAAGGUGUUUUAAAUGUGAAAAAGGUGUUUUAAAUGUCUCAAAGGUGUUUUAGAUAUGUGUGAAAAUGAAGGUGAAAGAAAUAAUAGAGGUAAAGGAAGUUAAAUGUGUGUGAAAAUGAAAGUGAAAGAAGCAAAGGGGCUGCGAAGAAGCAGUAUAGAAAAUGCUGUACCCAGGAGAUCUUGCAUAAACGAAUGAAAGCCUCAAAAUAUGUUGCUCCAAAAACUCAAACACACUUCAAACUUCAAAUGGGAUGAAGAUAAAUCACGUAGAAAGACAAACAUCACAACACAACCGGGGACAAGGAAUGUCUGCCGGAAGAAUCAUGAUGGUGUUACGGCGUUAAAUUUGAAGUCAACCAUGCCAAGGUAAGUACAUAACAUGAGAAUUUUUAAACUUCUCUUAAGACAAUACUUUAAACGUUACAUUCAGAAUUCCAAGCUUGAUUUCUUAAACCCAAUAAUGUCUCCACCGAGAAAUACAUCCCACAAAACAUUUAUGGUCCCUUUUCCCUUUUAAAGUCCUUCGUCUAAAGCAUCUCCAAACUCUCCACCCUUGUGUGGGGGUACUUUGAAGAAAAAUGAUUUGUUUUACAAAAAUCAUUACCAGAUCUUCACUCACUGUGCGCUCGUAAACCGCCCCAAUGUCCUGGGUGUACAUUUGCAAAGACCUUUAACGCAUCACGAGAUCAUCAUCGCCGAGACGGUGUCAUAAGGACUGUUUUUUUUAUGUAACCAUCAACAUCACCCAUAUAAAAGCCCUUCAAAGCAACGUACGGCGUACAUUUCAUGCGUGUUUUUGUUUGCCCAAGCACUAAAACGCAUCCAAUGUGGCUUGAGUGAUGGUUAAAUGUCGUAACACAAUGAAAACAAUAACCUUUACUACAUGGUGACGCUCACUUUCUUCAUCUCUCGACCACUUUCCCAAGUUGCGCAGAACGUCACAACCAACUUCAGCUGUAAGCUGUCAGCAAGCAACAGAUGCCUCCCGUCGAUCCAUGAGCAUAAGGAUCGGUUCUCAAGCGUUUUCUUCUUCAUGUGAAUAUGCUUGUAUCUUGAGGACUGAUUAGCCGCCACUUGUCCACUUCUGGGUAGCUGUGGGUGAGGAGGGUUUUAUAGGCUGUUAGCUUAAUUAAACUAAGUGCCUGCUUGUUGGGGGUGCCCUUGCCGUAACCGAAGAUCCGAAUGACCGAAGCAGUGAUCGGGAGUCGAGCGCCGGGCCACUUCUCAUAAACAUAAAAAUUGCAUUCAUUAUUCAUGGGCGUCGUUUAAUCAACAAGAGGACGGUCGAUUUUAUUUUUUGUGUGUGCCUCAUUUGCUUGCGGAGCUCACCAAACACACAUACACACCACUUGAAGUUUUGUGUCUGUUUGCGGCACUAUGACGCCACCAUCUCCAAAACGCUUUAUCUAAACGAACAGAAAAUGGCAAAGAAAGGAAGCGAUUGAGCUGGUUGGGUUUUACGUAAAACAAUUUAACACCACUAAAAUGAAAACGAAAAAAAUCCAAAUCCAAACCCCAGCAUGAGUCACCGAUGUGUGUGUGUGUGUUGGGUUUGGUAUAAUGCCGGCAGGCGAAUUUUGCCAGCCUUUUUUCUUCAUGCCCCAACCGCUCAAGUAUCUGUGGUCGCGGAAUUGAUGAUGAGUUUGAAAAUGAAAAAUGUUGAUCGAGGCCGCCAUUUCUCAAGCACACUUCAAUCAUUCAUGCAGCGGGCAUGUAAAGUUGGUGCUCGAUCGCCAAACAUACCCCCGUCCCCCCAGGCAUCUUGCCCCAAAACCGACGAUACGCAAUCUCAUCAUCGUCAUCAUCAGCAGCAUCAGUGAUCGGCGUGUCAUCGUGCAUCUUCUGCGUGCACGAUGCUCUCAUUUUUGUAUGGCUCUACAUUCCGAGGAAUUGAAGAAAAAAAACACAACUCCCCACUCCUUUUCCAGCAGAUGAAGACCUUCCUUAGACCCAACGGCUAAGUGAAAUCCAAUCAUGUUGCGCUGCGACUUAUUUCGCAUUAGGUUUCAAUGUUGGACCAUCCGAUCAUCAAACAUGCUGCCAAAAACGGUGUCGAACCGACCUUUUCCAUUCAAGGCAGGGUUGAGUAGCUUGGUAAGAAAAAUAUCACCAUAAAGAAGCGCAUAUUCCGUUUCAUAAUGCGCCCGAAAAGUCCACCUUUUUUCGAGAGCGUUCCUUGAUUAAAUCUUGAUCCUUUGAGAGCCUGGUACGAACCUACUAAACCUCCACCGGUACUGAUUAAGGUAACGUUUCGGGUCUCUGCCGUUCACCAAUAGAGACCCUUUUUGCAAUGGAAAAUGUGUAACGAUACGGUCGACCAGGUACGGAAUGGGAUGCAAAAAUGUCACACUUAAUUACGAACCGCCUUCAAACUACAAUCAACGACCGUCUUUUUUUGUUGUUGUUGUUGACAAACCUUGAGAAUCCCGAAAGCCCCGAAAAAUAUUCGUCUCGGUUUCGUCCAAAAAACAUUCGACCCAUUAUGCACAAUAUGAUGCCUUGAAAUUGGAGAACAUAUCGGUCCCUUUUACCACUCGUACAAACCUGAUUAAAUGAAUCGAAAAGCACUAGACCUUCCACACUGGAGGGUAUUUGUCAUUUCUGAGAGGUUUCAAAUUUAACGGAGUGAUGUUGAGCCGAUCCUCGUUAAGUGUUGUAAAUGAUUGCGACUUCGAAAAAGGUUUUGUUGGUUCACCUAUUAGCGACCACAAAUUGGUCUUUAUUUGCCGCGUUUUUGAAAUGUAAGAGGCCGAAAGCGCGUCUUUUGGCCCCUAUUUAUACAAUUCCCUUUUCCUUAACGGCCAUCCUUUUUCCUUUCACGGCGUUCCGUCCCGGUGUCAUUCGUCUGCUAUAAUCGAUUAAUUACGAUUAAUUAACUGUCACAUUAUAGCUAACUAACCAAAACAAAUGAAUUCUGUCACCGCAUUCUAGUCAAAACACUGACGCGUUGUUAUUCACAACAUUAAGCUUAAACUGUGUUGCAUAAAACCGCUUUCGUAGCGAAGAACUCGUGUAGAAACUUGCGAGAACCCAACCAUUAGCAGUAGAUAAAUUGGAUCGAAAUUAUAUCUCACGCAUAGCCUCAAAAUAUUGUGUACACAACCGCACGAAGAAAUGCAGGUCAAAUAUUCCCCACCAGUUCGACAAUUCUCUCGCAAAACAACGCUAGAAAUUCAUUAGCAGCUUCGUGGUCAAGCAAUUGCACACCAGAGUUCGUGAGGUAUACCUCUUCUUCAUCGCGAUGAUGUCAAUAGCUCAAAAGUACCGCAAAUCGGCCACUGAUGGCCAUCGAUAUUUCUACCAACAGAAUCUUCGUUACACCACUUUUCUAAUGAUCAUAGAGCUCCCAUUUGGGCAGGUGAGACAACGUUUUUCCCCCCUUUCGGGCAAAUCAACACACCUCAAGAGUUAACGGAACUGCCGAGAACUGCCUGUUUAGUUAGCCAAAAACAAAAUAACCAAAAGCUCAAUGUUCGAUGUUCGGGCAUUAGUUUCAUCAUUACCCAGGGGCACCAGAUGAGCAUCGUAACCGCAACGAAUUCUGGCCCGUGGAAGGGUACGCAAUCGAUAAUCCCCCCCGGUAGGGUGUAAUAGCCCCACCGAGGGAGUUCCUCACGAUGUACCGCCAAAGAUGAAGAGCUCCUCCGGAAAAAAAGCGUUCAUCUCCAAUAACGAGGAAUUAACCGUUUAAUCAUCGUUAAAGGUCAUGCACAUUAGAAAAACUGUGUGAGCAAAAGAGUUUCUUUUACCUAUGCUCCUAGCUGUAUGGAAAGGGAAACAAGGGUAGAACAAUUUCAAUCUCAUUAAACACUUGGGUUUCUCCCUUUCACGCUCGCAAAACUCGUUUUAGAGUUUCCGGUACCGUAUAGAGUGUUUCUCGUACCCUACAGGUACACCUGGAACAACCAAAUCGUACACAUUUGCGCAUUCGUUUUCGUCGAUCAUUAGCGUGUUUUUAGAACGUUUUCCAGCCCCCGGCAAACAUUGUACAACGAUCAGCACGGCGCGUAGGCCGCCGUGGAGGAUCACUCGCCACGAUCAAAUUAAUUGUAUACGAACACCAUUACUUAUCUCCCGCACCGCAGGGGGGGAUUUGCAAGGUGUUCUAGCAAUGCGUUCUCCAAAACGGAUGGAUUUUGUUCUACGUUCUUCGGUAAUGGAAUGCUCCCAUGGUUGAGGCUACCCUCGUUUUUGGGACCUGAUUCUAUCCGUCCGCUUAACGAUUCGAUUUGAUUGAUUGAAUUUCUAUCCCAGGCUUAUCCGGGCCAGGAAGGUUUGAUCCAACGUCAUGUCCAAAAACAAUUCGCCUCCCAAAUAGACAACAACAAAAAAAUCCCCAAAAACCCAAGUAUUCGGUCUUGGACCCACAUCAUUCGCUCGCCACUAAAACAGCUGCCCACAGAUGGUCAAAACCCCACGAUCAACCCACACGAGCCAUGUCGGACGACGGGAAGAUAUGUAUAAAGAGCAGAGCAACAACAUCACUCGAAGGUGAUCAGUGAAAACAAAGUCGAAAGUUUAGAUCACAGCACAGGGAAGGGUUUCCCUGCUCUGACACAUCAUUGGCGGCCAAUUCGUUUUUGUGUGUUUUUUUUUUCUUUCUGGUUUCAACCACAUCUAUUGCGUCUCUUGAUGCGGUUCAACAAAGCUCUUUGUCGUCGGGUUAGCGGAGAUAGUUUUCCUUCUUUUUUUUCACACCACUUUCCCAGAAGCUGUCUCAUUUGUUGAGAGAUUUCUGUGGUUUCGACAUUUCUUAUACGCGUGUACCUCCCCGUUUUUGUGCCUUUCGGUUCGCUCCAUUUUGCUUGCUUCAUACGAACCGGCGAGAACGGGUGAUUUUUCUGGUGGUAGAACAUUGUACCACACAGCAAGCAUUGGUUGGUAAUGAUUAGAGCCCACUAAUUUGUGGACAUUAGCUUCCUUCAGUUUGGCAUUUUUUGCUAAGAUCCACACCAAAACAGUUCUCCCCUAAUAUUUUUUUUUGGGGUAGCUAUUCGUUCUUUCCCCUCUGUUGUGCCACCCUUUUGCUUUUUGGGAGGGAUGAUUUGAUUCUUCUGAGAUAUACCAUUUUUCCUCUCAAUUUGUUUUUGUGCGCUCGGCCACCGUACACUAACAUUCGACAAAUGUAUUUUUGCUGGUAGACUGCCGUUUAGUGUUUUUUUGUGUGCCUUUUUUUACUCGCUUUGCUUCUUUCUUUCCGCGCGCGUAAGGAGGUUAGCGAAAGGUGAAGGUGAAAAAAACCUACGACAAUCACCACCACUACCAGCAACAUCCAGCUGGAGGUCUAAUGAAUUUGCCCCAGUUUGGCGGACAAAGAAAAACACUGCGCCGUUUGGGUUGUGAGGAUCGCAAAAGGGAGACAAAAUUAAAGGUGCGGAGAUUGGUUUCAGUCACGAAGUGGUCCAUCCAGUGCCGUUGUUCGAAUCGGUGUUUACUGGUUUGAGAAUGGUCGUAAAAGGGGUGCAAUGUUUACAACUGCACGAAACUGCAUCACUAUGGGGUUUUUUUGGGUGGAGCAAUUUUAGUAAUAUUUAUCAUGCCUUAAACAAGUGUUUUUUUUUUAAAGAUUUUACAGAUUCUAUUAGUAAGCACACACUAAUAGGAAAGUUAAUUUCACGCUGUACAAAUAAACAUCUCACUCCUUCAACCCAAAAAAAAACAAUGGAAGUAUUAACAAGAAAUUAAUUAUUUUCGACACAUUUUAUUUACCUUUGCAUCGUAUCACUGUGAAACAGGCUUUUUUUUAUUAAAACAGUAAAUGUUUCGAUCUGACCCCAACACUUUAUUCGCAGCAGAUUGCAGCAACAAUUCCGUAUUCGGUGUCGAAAGAUUUUAAUUAAAUCGGCACCAACUCCACCAUCCCAAUGCAAUGUUGCCCUUGCCUGUUGACAGAACGUUACAGAACAGGCCGCCGUACAGGAAAAAAUAAACGCUUACAAGCUUUUGCCAGCUGUUCCGCGCAGAAAAUGUAAACCAUUACCAUGGUCCUAUUGGGAUGGGUUUUGGGCCAAAAACGCAAUAUCCGAUGCACGAAUGCUGCCGAUUCACUUUCAAUCUCAUGCUUCGCUUCUUAUCUUCACCGUACACGAACCCGCCCGGCGUACGCCUGUGUUCUAAAAUCUCAUGUUACGCCUAAUAAAAACAUUUAAUUCGAUCCCUCCGCAGCUGACAUAUGCUCACAAAAUCUCGGGCCCCGUCCCGAAACCCGGGGACCUCCAAGCUUCCAGUGACAUUUCCGUACCGACAUCCGCUCUAUAAUUAGAGCCGAUGUAGCAAUAGCACAACAACACAUCCAGAGCAGGCCAUUCUUGCCUCUGGGUUUUUUUUUUGGGGAGUGUAAGAAAUUGUGAAACGAAAAUAAAACCAAAACCAAAUCUUUCUCUUUCUUUCCCUUUUUCAUACACACACGUAUACACACUCGAAUGUAGCUAAUUGCAUUUUCCUUGAGAAAAGUGAUCCUGCUUUUAAUUUCACACUCUCGCGACUCCGAGCCAUUUCGAGGCCUUCCUCCCCGAAAAGAGACGUCAGUAAAACCGUAGGGCAAUUCCAGCAGUAAAACCAAACCACCGUCGCAGAGAUUUGUAGCAAUUAAGUGCAACGAGUAUCCGGGAAUGAAGUAAAAUAAAUACACGGCGAAAGAAGGAAGAAAAAAGCGGGGCCACAACGGCGACAGUGAAAUGCACUUCCACUUCCAUCUUGAGGUAUAUCUUCGGCGCACAACAGGGAGAGAGAGUGUGUACUCUCGGUAUGAAUGGGUUCUGCAAAGUAUAGGAAAGAUGUAGGAAAAUUUAUCACACUCGAAAGGAAAGCCACAGAU